AUAUUACUAAGCGGAGGAAAAGAAAUUAACGAAGAUUGCCUCAGUAGCGGCGAGCGAAGUGGCAAAAGCUCAAGUCGAAUCCGUGUGGUCCCCACACUGAAUUGUAAUCUAAAGGUCGUUGCAAAAGGGGAGGCCGAGGCAUAAGUUGCUUGGAACAGCAGGCCAAAGAGGGUGAUAGUCCCGUAUUUGGCCUCAGCCGAACCGAAUGCAUAAACCAUAGAGUCGGGUUGUUUGGGAUUGCAGCCCUAAAUGGGAGAUAAACUUCUUCUAAGGCUAAAAUAUUGAUGGGAGACCGAUAGCGCACAAGUA
rnacentral:rRNA from 1 species